GAUGCAGAGAUUGUGUGUAUCGACGUUGUGCGAUUUCGGUCAAAAUGCACAAUGCUCGAAAGAGUUCUCUGCAAUAUCAAUGUUCUCAAAGGAAGAUGGGCAGUUGUAUUUCAACUUUUUCAUUGAAAUCGUUCAACAAUCAUCUUCCUUACAUAU